AGGGUUGUGGCUCAAUGGUAGAGCACUUGCCUAGCAUGUGUGAGACACUGGGUUCGAUUCUCAGCACCGCAU
rnacentral:tRNA from 1 species